UUAUGCCAUGCAUGUCCAAGACUAAACAAGUUACUAGUGAAUCUGCGUAUGGCUCAUUAACAGAAUCAUAACUUCCCCCAGCACAAAAUAACAACUGGAUAACCGUUGUAAUUCAAGGGCUAAUCAUGCAUCCAAAAAAGUUUUUUCGGAAACUUUUGCAUUUGUUAGUUUUAAAUCAACUUUAAUAAAAGGUGAAUCAUGACAAAUUGCGGAACUUUUUCGAAUGAAAAGGUCGACUGGGUCAGGUCUUUCCCCUAUCAGGUUACAACCCGAGUGUAUUGUACUCGGGUGCCAUUGACGGGUAACGGAGAAUCAGGGUUCGGUUCCGGAGAAGGAGCCUGAGAGACGGCUACUACAUCUAAGGAAGGCAGCAGGCGCGCAAAUUUCCCAAUGCUCAUUGAGCGAGGAAGUGACGAUCAAUGACAAUGUGUGUCUUUUAAAGAUAUACAAUUGGAAUGAAUUCAAUGUAAAAUCUUCGAUGAGGAUCAAUUGGAGGGCAAGUCUGGUGCCAGCAGCCGCGGUAAUUCCAGCUCCAAUAGGAUAUAUCAAAGUUGUUGCAGUUAAAAAGCUCGUAGUCGAAUUUCUGAUGAGUUUUGAUGUUUUUUUUUGAAUGAGAAAGAAAUUUUUCAUUUUAAGAAACCGCUUGUCAUUUUGUGGAUUAUAUUAAUUGUUUUUUUUGUAAAAGAGAAAAAUAAUUACCACUCCGUUACUGAGAGCAAAUUGGAGUGCUCAAAGCAGGCUUUAUAGCUUUGAACAUAUUAGCUUGAAUGACAAAAUAUGACUAGUGUAUAUUUUGUUGG
rnacentral:rRNA from 1 species